UACGAAGGGUGCAAGCGUUAUUCGGAAUCAUUGGGCGUAAAGCGCGCGUAGGCGGAUCAGCAAGUCAGAUGUGAAAUCUCAGAGCUCAACUCUGAAACUGCGUCUGAAACUGCUAGUCUAGAGUGUCGGAGGGGGUAGGGGAAUUUCACGUGUAGGGGUAAAAUCCGUAGAGAUGUGAAGGAACACCGGGGGCGAAGGCGCCUACCUGGACGACUACUGACGCUGAGGCGCGAAAGCGUGGGGAGCAAACAGG
rnacentral:rRNA from 1 species